rnacentral:rRNA from 1 species
UACGAAGGGUGCAAGCGUUACUCGGAAUUACUGGGCGUAAAGGGUGCGUAGGUGGUUGUUUAAGUCUGUUGUGAAAGCCCCGGGCUCAACCUGGGAAUGGCAAUGGAUACUGGACAGCUAGAGUGCGGUAGAGGGUAGUGGAAUUCCCGGUGUAGCAGUGAAAUGCGUAGAUAUCGGGAGGAACACCGGUGGCGAAGGCGGGUCUCUGGGCAAUUCCUGACGCUGAGGCGCGAAAGCGUGGGGAGCAAACGGG